GCUCCCCUUUCCGCCCCUUCACGCUGCCCAUUGGGAAGAGUCUAGGGGAUCUCUCCGCCCAUUAGCCAGGAAGCACGUCAAUCAGAGCGGAGCGCCGCCUCUCGGCGCUUUUGAUUGGGUCGUCGCAUCACUACACGCUCACUGAUUGGCUGCAUUUGCUGGCUGUCACCGGUUAACGUUGCCCCCCUUCACAUCCCUCACUGGCUACCGCCCCUUCUUCCUCUGCCAGUUGUCUGCGAGAUUUGCCCCUUAAAUGGGGCACUCGCUCGCCCGCUUCUACUUGUCCCGCCCUUCCGCCCGACAGCUUGGUCUGUGGGUCGCACCCUCCGACUCCAUUAGAGAAGGAAUGUUUCCUGUUACACCGUAACAGCGCGGACGCCCGCCCACCGAGCCGCGCUCCUCGGCGGCCCCGCGGACCCUCCUCAGCCGAGGCGAGGUUACGUCAGUUUGUGCACUCAUUUGCCGGCCGCAUGGACGGGGGGCCGUGACGGGCAUAGGCGCUAGCGGCUAUGGCCGCUCAGCGGCGCCGCCGCACAACACCGACGCCACACUGCCCGCCGUCCCCAGCGACAUCUCCCCUUCGUCCCACCCCCCCACGUGCACGCGAGGCAGCUAUUGGGCAGGGUAGGUGUCAGUCGUUCAGCUCGCGAAGCUCAUUGGCCGUAAGCCGACGCCUGCGCAGCCAACCAGCAACAGCCCCCCGAUGUCACCCGCCGGAUGACACAGCAACCGUGGACUGGGGGCGGGGAAAGGCAAGGUCCUGCCUUUGAUUGGUUAUUUUCACUGUCAAUCUUCUUUGAGGGAGGGCGUUGGGUGGGGCGAUGGCGCGUGCCGGCCGCGCCCCACGUGGCCCAGGCAGCUGCGCACGUGACGGGGGCCCGCGGCCGGGAAAACUUGUGAAAAAGCGAUUUGCGGUGACCAUGGCGUCAUUCUUAAAUGUAGUCGUUACAAAUACACGCUGAUCUUCAUUAUCUGGGAGUGUGCCGAGCCAGAAGCGGGGCUGUGGGGGUGGUUGGUGGUCGGCUGAGGCAGGAGCGGGCCCGGGGACGCUUUCCAGGGAGGUGGUGUGAAGGCCGGGAUGAGCAGCGUUAGCAGAGCAGGUGAGGGGCAGCACUGCUGCAUCGCAGAACGGGAAGGACAAAGUGCAGGUACAUCAGCAGGACCUGGAUGGCCCAAAGGAUUAGCAUAGCAGAAGAGCAGGGCCGGAGGAGCAUUGAAGUCUCCAAAUCUGACACAGAAAGCAAUGAGGAGAAUACACGGAUAACAGAAUAUAUUUGAAGGCUGAUGUUCGUUAAUGUCACUUCCCGACCUCGUCCAGGGCUGCAAGCCAGUGCAGUAUUUCCAUUUGCUCUCCCCGAGAGAAUCCUGUUACAACCUGAUUAGCAGAGCCGUAGAGCACCUGAACAGAGAACUCUAGAGAUAUGAUGUGCCUGUCACCUUAGUGAACAGGUCUGUGGGUAUUCGGUGAAAACAUGACCUUGGAAGAGCCACAGAGCCUUCGCAGGCUAGUCACCAGCAGGAGGGACAGCUGCCAGCACAGCAAAGCCACGGGCGCUGGUGGCACAGACAGCAGACAAGAUCCCCGCAAAAUCAAGUUACACAAGUCAGUAAAGAGCAGUCAAUCUUUUGAUGGCUUCUCCAUUCAGUAAUGGUAAUUGAUUUUUACAUUGAUUGGUGGGAAAAGAGCCCCAUUAAUAUGAAUAAGACUUCAUACUGGAUAUGCACAUACUUGUUACUGUGGUGCUGUAAGGAAUACAAAAGGUUCUGUAUAAAUCAAUAUGAAUUAGUAAUACAACUUUUGGAUGCACUUUGCCUCCCUUUCUCUUUGUUUAUUCGAUGUGUGGGAACUGAAAAAUCCAGAUGUAUUUUUCAUGUUCUAAGCAGAAAUCACUAAUAAACCAAGAGUACAGGUUGCGUGCUUUGGGAGAGAAUGAUCUGUCCAAGAUGCUGACCUUGUCUUUGCCAUAAGUAAAAAAAUAAUGAAAUCA